rnacentral:lncRNA from 1 species
ACACAUUUACCUUGCUCCAACCACGUUGUUGUCCGGAACUUNUCAUUCGAACAUGGACAACGAGAACAAACUGAGAGAACGGAUAACCAAAAANGAAAGGGGAGAAUGAAUGUUAGAGAAAACGCAAUGGACAGGACGAAAAGGCCGGGAGAACCAAUGUCAGAGAGAAUGCAAGGGAGAGGACGAAGGGAGAAGAUGAAAUGUGAGAGAGAAAGAAAUCUGAGACAGAAAAGGUAAUGAAACUAGGCAAGGGUAGAAUUGGAAGGAAAAUUUUUUGAAACCCUUUUCAUUCUGC